rnacentral:rRNA from 1 species
GAUGAACGCUGGCGGCGUGCCUAAUACAUGCAAGUCGAGCGAACGGACGAGAAGCUUGCUUCUCUGAUGUUAGCGGCGGACGGGUGAGUAACACGUGGAUAACCUACCUAUAAGACUGGGAUAACUUCGGGAAACCGGAGCUAAUACCGGAUAAUAUUUUGAACCGCAUGGUUCAAAAGUGAAAGACGGUCUUGCUGUCACUUAUAGAUGGAUCCGCGCUGCAUUAGCUAGUUGGUAAGGUAACGGCUUACCAAGGCAACGAUGCAUAGCCGACCUGAGAGGCGGAUCGGCCACACUGGAACUGAGACACGGUCCAGACUCCUACGGGAGGCAGCAGUAGCGAAUCUGCCGCAGUGGGCGAAAGCCUGACGGAGCAACGCCGCGUGAGUGAUGAAGGUCUUCGGAUCGUAAAACUCUGUUAUUAGGGAAGAACAGAUGUGUAAGUAACUGAGCACAUCUUGACGGUACCUAAUCAGAAAGCCACGGCUAACUACGUG